rnacentral:rRNA from 1 species
AAGUAUUAAAUGGCCGCGGUAUUCUGACCGUGCAAAGGUAGCAUAAUCGUUAGUUUCUUAAUUGGGAUCUUGUAUGAAUGGUUGGAUGAAAGAAAAACUGUCUUUAUAAUUAAAAUAGAAUUUAACUUUUAAGUGAAAAGGCUUAAAUGUAUUAAAGGGACGAUAAGACCCUAUAAAGCGUUUCAUUGGGGCGAUGAAAGUAAAAUGAAUAACUGCUUUAUUUUCCAGACAUUAAUACAUGGAAAGAUCCUAGAUAAAGAUUUAGAGAUUAAGUUACUUUAGGGAUAACAGCGUUAUUUUUUUUGAGAGUUCUUAUCGAAAAAAAAGUUUGCGACCUCGAUGUUGAAUUAAAAUUUCUCUAUAAUUGUAGGUGUUAUAGAAGAAGGUCUGUUCGACCUUUAAAUUUUU